GACGAACGCUGGCGGCGUGCUUAACACGUGCAAGUCGAACGGAAAGGCCCUGCUUUUGUGGGGUGCUUGAGUGGCGAACGGGUGAGUAACACGUGAGUAACCUGCCCUUGACUUUGGGAUAACUUCAGGAAACUGGGGCUAAUACCGGAUAGGAGCUCCUGCUGCAUGGUGGGGGUUGGAAAGUUUCGGCGGUUGGGGAUGGACUCGCGGCUUAUCAGCUUGUUGGUGGGGUAGUGGCUUACCAAGGCUUUGACGGGUAGCCGGCCUGAGAGGGUGACCGGCCACAUUGGGAAGGGGAAGCGGCCCAGACCCCUACGGGGGGGAGGAGUGGGGAAUAUUGCAAAAUGGGCGGAAGCCGGAUGGAGCAACGCCGCGGGGGGGAUGACGGCCUUCGGGUUGUAAACCGCUUUCGCCUGUGACGAAGCGUGGGUGACGGUAAUGGGGAAAGAAGCACCGGCGAACUACGU
rnacentral:rRNA from 1 species